AUUCUUCGUUUCAUUGUGUACAUUCCUAGUCUUUUGCGAUUAACUUCUUCGUUUCACUACUGUUUUCUUACAUUAAUGUUUAUGUAUGACAUGUAAUCUGACAGUGAGGUUUUACACGAUUCUGGAAAAGUUGGGACAACUUUGUCAGGCUCUCUUUGUGAUCUGCUGAUCAGAGGGCUAGGUUUGGAGAAUUAUGCUAAUCUUUCCUCUUUUUUCUUCGUUUUUUCAACAACUAUUUGCCACACUACCCCAUCAUUCUACUGUUUUCUGAUAUUUAGGUUUUUGACAUAUAAUCUGACAUUGAAAGUUUGCUCGAUUCUGGAAAAGUGCAACACUUUUGUGGGGUUUUCUUGUAGCCAUCAUCUAAACGACUUGAUACAAUGGACAAAAAUGGAGCACGGUUCUAGAUAGAUAAAUAAAAUUCCUUCAAUGAAUCGUUCUUAUUUAUUUUAAUUUCUGGGAUUCGAUUGCAAGUCAUAAAUUGAAUUGUGUAAAUGUUUUUCUGCAGUGUGAAAAAUUUGGGACAACUUUGUAACUGUGAUUUCAGAGAUGAGCGGCAUGGUUUGAAGAAAUAUUUUUGUUGUUUUUUAUUUUUUUUCUACAACUAUUUGUUGCGGCAUAAUAUUUCUGCACAUGUAUCAUCUGUGGUAUUCGCAGGGUCUGUAGAAUGCAUGGGUUUGGUGUGCAACAGAGGUCUCGAGAUUUUUUUCUACAACAUUCUUUUUUAAUUUUUAUGCCUUCGCUUUGAUGCAUUAUAAGUGAACUGAACUUUGAACGUGUUUUCUGCAGCUUGGUUUGUCAAAAUAAUAACUUUCUUCAUAGUAUGGAUUCUCGAGAUUUGGUUUGGCGAUCUUUAGUAAAAACAUUUGUUUCAAUCUUUCAUUAUUAAUUCUUAUAUCAUAUAUAUGUCUUGAUUUGGUACUUACUCUUGGGUUCUGCACGAGAAGAUGUGAUUUUAAUUUUUCGAUUCUAAAAUUUGCUUGUUCUUGUGUUCAAUUUUCUUUUCUUUCUUGAUUUCUUGAUCUGUUUGCCAGUUGUUUUUUUCCAUGAUUGCUUAAUUUCA
rnacentral:lncRNA from 1 species